rnacentral:lncRNA from 1 species
GUCCGAGCUUCUACAGCAAGCGGCCUCCUUCCGGACUCCUACAAUAAUCGGACUCCGUCCGAACUUCUACAAUAGAAUUGAAUUUCAGACUCCUCCAACGAUCGACCUUCCAUAGUGUCCUCAAGACUCCUUCAGUGGACGAACUUCCACAAUGCCUUCCGAACUUCACUAUCGAUCGACUUUCUGCUGGAUUCCUUGUGAAAUCGGACCUCUCCAGCGGAUAGUCUUCAGACG